rnacentral:rRNA from 1 species
GGAUUAGAUACCCUGGUAGUCCACACCGUAAACGAUGAAUGCCAGUCGUCGGGUAGCAUGCUAUUCGGUGACACACCUAACGGAUUAAGCAUUCCGCCUGGGGAGUACGGUCGCAAGAUUAAAACUCAAAGAAAUUGACGGGGGCCCGCACAAGCGGUGGAGCAUGUGGUUUAAUUCGAAGCAACGCGCAGAACCUUACCAACCCUUGACAUCCUGAUCGCGGUUAGUGGAGACACUUUCCUUCAGUUCGGCUGGAUCAGUGACAGGUGCUGCAUGGCUGUCGUCAGCUCGUGCC